rnacentral:lncRNA from 1 species
AACCUUCAACACCCAUUGCUGAUGGUCGUAUGGAUAAGGAUUACAUGACUUUUGGGUGGGAAGUUGGCUCAAUCUCACCCACCACCAGAUGCAUCUCACGCUGUAUAUAUUGCCACUUGUCAAAGUCUUCAUUUAUUUUUUUUUUUUUUUUUAAAAAAAAACUUCAGAAACGUAAAGAGCUUCUUCUUCUUAUGCUUCCAUGGUGAACCACUUCAACCUCCAUGUAACCACACCUCUCCGUCGACAGGAGAUCGGCCCGAUGCAGCCUUACACCAACCACCAAAUAAAAAUCGGAUCGUCGACCCAGCCAACACAAUCUUGGUUACCACGGAUCACUCCUCCACAUCCAGCUUUGUGAUUAUCCUUAUUUGCACCAUCUGUGUUUAGCUUAACAUAAUGAGGUUUAGGAGGCACCCAUUUAAUCAUAGUAACAACUUGUUCUCCAACUUGUACCAGUUAACAGCAUUAUUUAAGCUGUAAUGUAUCAAAUUUGGCAGCUCUCUCAUAAAAAACACACCUCUAUUUAUUGUACAUGGUAGACACUUUGCUGUCAUAUAGAUUUAUAUGGUUAUAGGGCUUAAUCAACCCUCUCAUGGUUUCUUUCUGCAAUUAAAACUAUCAUUUAGCUUUCUUUUUUUGUUUUACGAGUAUUAAAUUUUAGAUUAUUAUGAAAAUCAGCAUGAACAAAAACAACUAU